AUUCCCGGAAGCCCGUGAGGCCAGGAACCCUUCGAUCGAGAAAAGACCUUCCAUUGGGAGAAGACUUCUCGUCUUAUUUCCACCUAUAAUCUCUUCAAAACAUAGCAGUCAGAGUUAUCUGCUGAACUCAUAAGUCACUCAUCUGCUCCAAGCCUCCCAGUGGCUUCUCAUCUCACAGAAUCCAAGUCGACCUUCCUGGAGCCUCUAUCCACUACUUGUUUUGCUCAACAAGAACACACAUCGUGUUGACUCCAUCUUUUAUAUGAUGCCUCACCACAAUGUUCCGUUGGCCAGUGCAAGAGAAACCAGGAUGCUUCCUCAUACUGCACAUCUUUAUCUGAGAACCAAAGGACAAAUAUGGGUGUCACAUGCCAGCUCCUUCUACCUCCUUCUGAAACCAGAGGACUGGAUUGGAACCAACAGAGAUCAUGCUGUUUACUUCACAGAUUUCAAGAAAAGUGAAUUCUGAGUAAUCUUUUUUUUUUAGAUCUUCCUAUGUGUAAAAAUCUUUGGUGAGAUUUACCAUCUCAUUUAAAGUUCUUUCACAAUUUUUGUGAAAAUUGAGUGAUGUGUAAUAAAUAAGUUAUUUUUUUCCUUUAUAGCUGAUGCUUGACCUUUUUUCCCUUGGUAAUAUAGCUUACGAAGCAGAUAUAUAUGCCAAUACACCCUUGAUUUUAAGUCUUUCAAAUAGAAGAACAUAG
rnacentral:lncRNA from 1 species